CACAUCAGCGGUGGGGGGGACCGCCAUCUUGGUAGGCAAACUUCGUUGCCUACGUUGCCUAGCUUCGUUCAUUGCUGCCCGCGUUUUGAAAAAAAAGUUUAUGCAAGGAAUAAGAAACAAACUAUCAGUGGUACGUGAGGGUGAGGACUCAAAAUGCCCUGUUGUGCAGUCUCAGCGUGCUUGAAUCGUACUUACAAGAAAAGUAAAUCCCAAAUUGAAACCGAAAAAACAUCGAAAAUUACUUUCCACAGGUUUCCGAAGGCUGAGAAUCAGAGACUAAAAUGGGUUGAAUGUACACAAUUGCCAUUAACAUCAUUACCUGCAAUUGCAUACCUCUGCUCUGUACAUUUUGCAGAGGACAGUAUUGACCGUACUUCCCUUAGCUGUACAAGGCUGAAAAGAGACGCUAUUCCAGCAAUAAACAUUACAAAUACCGGAAAACCGGAAAACUUGAGUGAACAUGAACAUGAGCAUGUAUCACAAGUCCAACAAGACGUGUAUCCAUCAACGUCAAAAACAAUAGAUAAAGAAAUACCUGAGGAAAUAUUUGACGAUUUCACAUGCGGAAAAACUGAUGCCAAUACCAGAUCAGACUUACUAAAGACACUGUUUGAGAAUACACCAAAACGCAUUCAUAAAUGUGAUGUAACAACCGAAUGUAAGCCACAAAAGCGUCAAUGUAUUCAGUCAGCAUUGUGUGAACAAACUGUUCAGGGAACACAAGUUAAAUCAGAGAGUUCAUCAGAAAUGACAGAUGAUACGUAUUUGUCAAAGUCACCAUUUCUGAUAAACCAACAAAAUAACGAGGCCUUAAGUGAUUCCCGAGGCCAACUACAGUAUACUCCUAGAAAAAUACUUCUGUGUAAAACGUUAAAAGCUCAACAAGAUAUAUCACGACGGCAGAUACAAACACUCAAAAAACGAAAUAAGCGGCAAGAAAAAAAAAUAGCUAUCCUUAACUCGAUUUUAAAUGAAUUAAAAGCAAAACAGAUGCUUGACGAGGAGCAGCUUGAUUUACUAAGGACUAUUGAUCAAUGCCUUUCUCUAAAUCAAGGAGAUCCACGUUCAAUAUUCAAUGGCUUAACGAAGAUCAUUUUUCGCCAUGGCUGAAAGAAUGCAAAAAUGAUAAGUUUGCAUUUUAUUGCAUCAUGUGUAAGAAAACCGUGCUGCUGAGCAACGUGGGCCGACAGGCUUUAACUAGUCACAUGAAAGGACGUAAACACGAACACGCUGCGAGGAGUCAAAAUAAUACUUUUGGAAUCGGAGUAUUUCUAUCACCGAAAACAGUAGACGUCCCAAAAUCUACUACACUUAGACUUGAUGGAAGUUUGAUUGCAAAUGUUGAAAAAAUAGCCGAAGUACAAGAAACUGAGAAGACAGGAACGAUUUCACAACCAAGCACGUCAACACAACUAGAAUCAACGUCCCUCUUGCACAUACUACCAAAGCAGCGAGGAAUGAAUCGUUUCAUUGAAAAAGAGAAAGUUAUGCGAGCAGAGAUAAUCUGGUGUCUUCAGACUGUAUUCUGCCACCUAUCCCUUGCUGCUGCAGGGAAAUGCACAGAAAUUUUCAAACUAAUGUUUGAUGAAAAUGGGACAGCUAAAGCAAUGACACUGGGCCCCAACAAAAUGGGUUAUACAAUUUUGCAAGGCCUUGCCCCGUUCUUUAAAAAUGA
rnacentral:misc_RNA from 1 species